rnacentral:tRNA from 1 species
CAAGAAGUAGCUUAUUAAAAGCAUUCACCCUACAACUGAAAAAUGUUGAUGCCAACCUUUUUGA